GGACGAGAGCGGUCGACUGCGAGUGCUCCCCCCCGCUGCGCUGGUCACAGUGCGCCGGCGAAAUCCAUCACCUUCCCUCAUUAGGGUAACGGAUGGAUAAGACGACCAUAAUUCCUCUCUCUCUCCCCCCCCCCUCCUCUAUCCAAGCGUCUGCAUAUUCUCUCUCACGGUCGCGACGGCGAUGGUGACAAGAACUUCUUCCUUUUUAGGUAUCUAAAGAGAGCGGCCGUCGACGACCAGGCCGUCGGGUGCGUCCAACUGCGCAGGUUCAGCGGCUUCUGGCUGAUUCCGAUGAGCUCGUGCCAUCGUCUUCCUAGACAGUCGAGGUAGGCCUUCACAUGCCCCC
rnacentral:lncRNA from 1 species